GACUACCGCAUACCAACACUGCACGACAACACUGCAGUAGAUAAAAAAGCAUUUUUUUAUUGUUUUUUUUUUUUUGUACUUCGAUUAGUGAUUUGUUUUGGAAGUGUGUAAAAAUGAAAACGGGAUUGUAAUUAAAAUUCACCGUGGUCUAGAUCGUUGCGAGUGAUCCGAGUGUGACUCGGUGAUCGUUGGUGUUCAAUCCCCAAGAUACAGGAUGCCUACUGUGGAUGUCCCUGAAAUCCGUGUAAAAACGGCUUUCAAUGGG